rnacentral:rRNA from 1 species
AUUGAACGCUGGCGGCAGGCUUAACACAUGCAAGUCGAGCGGAGAUGAGGUGCUUGCACCUUAUCUUAGCGGCGGACGGGUGAGUAAUGCUUAGGAAUCUGCCUAUUAGUGGGGGACAACAUUCCGAAAGGAAUGCUAAUACCGCAUACGUCCUACGGGAGAAAGCAGGGGAUCUUCGGACCUUGCGCUAAUAGAUGAGCCUAAGUCGGAUUAGCUAGUUGGUGGGGUAAAGGCCUACCAAGGCGACGAUCUGUAGCGGGUCUGAGAGGAUGAUCGGCCACACUGGGACUGGGACACGGCCCAGACUCCUACGGGAGGCAGCAGUGGGGAAUAUUGGACAAUGGGGGGAACCCUGAUCCAGCCAUGCCGCGUGUGUGAAGAAGGCCUUAUGGUUGUAAAGCACUUUAAGCGAGGAGGAGGCUACUGAGACUAAUACUCUUGGAUAGUGGACGUUACUCGCAGAAUAAGCACCGGCUAACUCUGUGCCAGCAGCCGCCGUAACAC